CUACCCGAUGCAUCGUGCGUGCCUCACCUCCAUCUGCACUUAGACAGAGAGAUGGACUGGCGCCUAUGACGCCCUGGUCGACUACGCGGUCGCCGCCGUCCGCGAGCCCGGGUGCACGGUGGCUCUCACAGACUUCCACCACUGCGUCGACGCUUCAGCGAGUCCUGCGACCGAGCCGACGGCCUCGUCCAGGUGGCCGCCGCCGGCCUCGGCCCCGCCGCCUCCCGCCACAACGAGAUGUUCCGCGCGCUCAUGGACCUCCACCGCUGCCUCGACGCCUUCAGCGAUUCCCGCGACUGAGCCAAGGGCCUCGUCCAGGCGGCCGCCACGGCCGCGCCGCCUCCCGUCACGACAAGCUGUUCCGUGCCGUGCGCGUGGUCGACAAAGAUCUCCGGGCCGCCGCUGCCGGCUGGGAGAAGAAUCGCCCUCCGACCACGCCACUGGCAGCCGAGGACAAAUAGCCCAAUCAAUCUACCCCGUCUCCUAUUCAGGUGAUGUUUAUCAUUCUUGUUUUUUCCAUGUGAUGUUCAUCGUUCCUCUUAUUUUCUCGGUUGAUGUGCUAAUCAUGUUAGUCAAAGAUGAAUGAAACUGUGACGGGAAAGGAGAGAUGGACCGGGAUAUUUUUCCUCGGCAUGUCGCAUGGUGGCCGAGAUGCGGCAGCCCCAUGCUCUGUUCUGAUGGGCCUCCUCUGCUCGAUGGUUGCCGCUGGUUGAGUUUGGUACAGUUUCCUGUUGUCGCUUGCGUCGAGCCCUAGGUCCGUCUCUCCUUCUCAUUGAGCCUACUUCUCCUGUCGCUGGCGCUUCUUCUUCUCGUCCGUCCCGCUGCUUAACCAACGUGCUUAUGCUUGCUGCCUCGAGUUGUACGAUCUCUUCUGUCGCUGCGUCGUUCGACUCAUCAAGGUUUUCUUCUUUCCUUUCUACUACAUGUGUGUGUUAUACUUUCAGUAUCUUCUGUGUCAUGUCUGCCUUGGUGAUCUUUUAAAUAUAUGUAUGUCGUGCUGAUCGUUUAAAUAUUCCGGAUAUGGUCGGGCGUUGUGUGUUGUUCUUUCUCGUGCUGCUUAUAUUUCGUGUAUGCGUGUGAGCAGGAUGUGUAUGCCUGUUUCCGUUGUUAUACCAGUUUUGGAGGCCAUGGUAACUCGAUACCACCCACGCUCACUCUUUCUGUUGUACACAAGCAUAUUUGUCCAAUUCUCAGACUAAGUUUCUGAAAGAAACCGCAGUUCAUUACAACGCCAAUUAUGGAUAUGGAUCCAUCUUGCUACGCUGGAUGAAGGACUGGAUGUAAUAAGAAUUGCAUGUGACAAAUAGGUGCCUCCUCUAUGCAUAACUUUUGGCUAAUAUCAUUGAAUUUCUCCUGAGAUCUCUCUAGACCUUUCCAAAUGUAUUUUAGUUAGGUGUUUGUAUUAACUAGCAGAAGAAGGGAUGCAAAUGGAAAGAAUUUGAGAUGCAUAAACAUAAAAGCACUAAAAGAUUUGCUUGAAGCAAAGAUGUCUAGCCGGCAUACAUAUGGCAAGAACCUUCAGAGAUUGAUUUCUUUUCACCUGCUAUUCAGAUAUAUACUUGCUCAUAGGUCACAACUCAUGAAGUUACUUCUUUUGGUUUUGAUUUUGAAAUAUAUGUGUCAUAGGUCACGACUGAUGAAGUUACUUCCUUUUGGUGAAGGUCUGAAUAUCAUCAGUAUCUUGGCUGAGAGGCUGACAUUUCGGAAGGUUCUCAUCUGUGUAGAUUAGUUGAUAGGAUGACAAUUUAAGUUUAUUGAAGCUCUUCUUUAGGAGGCGGGGUUCUGCUUUGGUUUCUUGCUAUUUGCAGUUUGAUGCUUGUGGUAUCCCAUAUGAAAUUCUACAAUUUGUUUUAGCUUUUGUAGUUUUCUAUUCAUUAUCCCUACCCAUUGUGAUGUGUAUGUUUAUAUGCUUCAUGGACAGCGGGAUUUAAUAUCACUUGCUUCUCAGUCUUCUCCACCCUCGACAUGCGUAGGCCAAAAAGGCGGAGACGAGUCAUGAUCCUCCAGGCUAUGGCUGCUGGUUGCAGACAGGGUUUAAGCACAGGAAUCGCAAAAGUUGUGCCCCAUGAGGCCAGUGACCCCCAUGUGGCCAGCAACUAAAGGCUAGAUUCAUUCUCGUUGAAUGUAACCUGCCUGACAGUAAAUUAGUGUCACAUUGGUUAUCUUUAGCUUGGACGAAAAUGAAUGGACGAGCUUCAGUAUGACGAGGAGAGAGCAAUCUUGUUCAGUUUUAAUCGGGACAGAUGAAGGACAACCAUGUAAAAGGAUAUUUUCUAUGGUAAUGUUGAAAUGAAGAUAUAUUGCUUUUAAGAAAGGAGCACUAUGGAGUAUUGAAGCGAGCUGAUUAAUGUAAAAAAUAUCACAGAAUGAAACAUUAGCUGGUGCCAUCCAAACACUAUUAUGUACCUUCAGCAGUAAUGGAUCAUUCGCUUUGCUUGGUCAACCUUGCAACUAAAUCUCUUCAACAUUUGGCUAAUUCUGGUUUUUGGUAAUGCUUUCUUGAUAGUGGAGCAGUCAUAGGCCUGUUAUAGAGAUCUUGGUGAAGAACUCGUCACUGCAAUUUUGUCAAAUGGGUGUUGAGAUUGAAGUUUAUGCUUUUGUUGACUUUCUGAUAAAUUACAGCAACAUCGACAAGGUUAUGUGGGAGCCUUUCAUAGAGCCCUCAUAUAUUCAGUUAAAUAUACUUUGAAAUGUGCUGAUCAUGCACUGGAUGUAUCUCCCAGUACUCUGUGUUGCUAAAUUCAAGCAAGCAGCUUAAUGUUUCCAUAUCAGAGCCCUUGAUCGAGUGUGUGAUAAUUCGAGCCUCCAUGGAAGCAUCAACCGGAUCUGGCUGGCCCACAUACGCACGCCUCCUCUUUGCCCGGUGGCUCAUGGAAGCGGUGGCGUACGAUGAUGGCUUCCAUAUGGAGUAGAUGAAUCAUCAUAGAUAGUUCUUAUGUUACAUGUACAAAGGAGAGCAUUGUUUCACGAAAGCAUGGAUCCACGCCAGUGACCAGUGAAGAAAGGGCUCAUGAACAAGAUAAAAAACUUUCAACCAUCUUUUGUUUACAAGGAAAGACGCUUUUUGUUAAAUUAGUCUUGUUGACUUCCGUAUGUAUUAUCGUAUUCUACCUCUUCUAUUAUAUCCAAAUUACUAUAUGAUGUAAUUGACCACUCUUAUUAAGAACUGGGCACAGUGAUUUAUGCUAUCAUUAUCUUAAGUAA